rnacentral:rRNA from 1 species
AUUGAACGCUGGCGGCAUGCUUUACACAUGCAAGUCGAACGGUAACAGGCCGCAAGGUGCUGACGAGUGGCGAACGGGUGAGUAAUGCAUCGGAACGUGCCCAGUCGUGGGGGAUAACGCAGCGAAAGCUGUGCUAAUACCGCAUACGAUCUGUGGAUGAAAGCGGGGGACCGAAAGGCCUCGCGCGAUUGGAGCGGCCGAUGUCAGAUUAGGUAGUUGGUGGGGUAAAGGCUCACCAAGCCAACGAUCUGUAGCUGGUCUGAGAGGACGACCAGCCAAACUGGGACGGAGACACGGCCCAGACUCCUACGGGAGGCAGCAGUGGGGAAUUUUGGACAAUGGGCGCAAGCCUGAUCCAGCAAUGCCGCGUGCAGGAAGAAGGCCUUCGGGUUGUAAACUGCUUUUGUACGGAGCGAAAAGGCUCUCUCUAAUACAGGGGGCUCAUGACGGUACCGUAAGAAUAAGCACCGGCUAACUACGUGCCAGCCGCCGCUGUAACAC